rnacentral:rRNA from 1 species
GGAUUAGAUACCCUGGUAGUCCACGCCGUAAACGAUGUCUACUAGCCGUUGGAAGGAUUUUCUUUUUAGUGGCGCAGCUAACGCGAUAAGUAGACCGCCUGGGGAGUACGGCCGCAAGGUUAAAACUCAAAGGAAUUGACGGGGGCCCGCACAAGCGGUGGAGCAUGUGGUUUAAUUCGAUGCAACGCGAAGAACCUUACCUGCCCUUGAAAUCUUAGGAACUUGAUAGAGAUAUCUUGGUGCCUUCGGGAGCCUAAUGACAGGUGCUGCAUGGCUGUCGUCAGCUCGUGCCG